rnacentral:rRNA from 1 species
UACGUACUGUGCGAACGUUAUUCGGAAUCACUGGGCUUAAAGGGUGCGUAGGCGGUCAUUUAAGUAGGGUGUGAAAUCCCCCGGCUCAACCGGGGAACUGCGCUCUAAACUGGAUGGCUUGAGUAAGAUAGGGGUGUGCGGAACUUCCGGUGGAGCGGUGAAAUGUGUUGAUAUCGGAAGGAACACCAGUAGCGAAAGCG